rnacentral:rRNA from 1 species
GACGAACGCUGGCGGCGUGCCUAAUACAUGCAAGUCGAGCGGAAAGGUCCGGUUCUUGUGCCGCGUGCGUGAGCCGCGCACGGGUGAGUAACGCGUGGAAAAUCUGCCUUUCAGUGGGGGAAAACCUGGGGAAACGGGUGCUAAUACCGCAUAAGAUCUUGAAGCACAGGGUUGAAUGGUGAAAGACGGCGGUUCGGGAUGGAAUCGCGGCUUAUCGGCUUGUUGGUGAGGUAGUGGGUUAACAGGGCUCCGACGGGUAGCCGGCCUGGGAGUGGGACCGGCCACAAUGGGCCUGGGGUAGGGCCCAGACUGCUACGGGAGGCAGUGGUGGAAAACAUUCCGCAGUAGGCGGAAGCCAGGUACAACGAUGCCGGGUGCGGAAUGACGGCUUUUGGGGUAUAAACCGCUUUGGAAUGUAACGAAGCGUGAGUGACGGUAACUAGUAAGAAAGCAACGGCUAACUACGUG